AGUGAAGCGGCAACAGCUCAAAUUUGAAAUCUGGCCUCUUCGGGGUCCGAGUUGUAAUUUGUAGAGGGUGUUUCGGGCGCGAUGCCGGUCUAAGUUCCUUGGAACAGGACGUCGCAGAGGGUGAGAAUCCCGUACGCGACCGGCGAUCAAGCCUGUGUGAAGCCCCUUCGACGAGUCGAGUUGUUUGGGAAUGCAGCUCAAAAUGGGUGGUAAAUUUCAUCUAAAGCUAAAUAUUGGCCAGAGACCGAUAGCGGACAAGUAGAGUGAUCGAAAGAUGAAAAGCACUUUGGAAAGAGAGUCAAACAGUACGUGAAAUUGUUGAAAGGGAAGCGCUUGCAAUCAGACCGGUCCGGAGGCGAUCAGCCGCUGCUUGUUCAGCGGUGCACUCGCCUGCGAUCCGGCCAGCAUCGGUUUGGGCGGUGGGAUAAAAGUCCCGGGAAUGUAGCUUCUCUCGGGGAGUCUUAUAGCCCGGGUCGCAAUGCCGCCUGCCUGGACCGAGGACCGCGCUUCGGCUAGGAUGCUGGCGUAAUGGUUG
rnacentral:rRNA from 1 species